rnacentral:rRNA from 1 species
UACGUAGGGGGCAAGCGUUGUCCGGAUUUAUUGGGCGUAAAGAGCGUGUAGGCGGCCAUGUAGGUCCGUUGUGAAAACUCGAGGCUCAACCUCGAGACGCCGAUGGAAACCAUGUGGCUAGAGUCCGGAAGAGGAGAGUGGAAUUCCUGGUGUAGCGGUGAAAUGCGCAGAUAUCAGAAGAAACACCAAUGGCGAAGACAGCUCGCUGGGACGGUACUGACGCUGAGACGCGAAAGCGUGGGGAGCAAACAGG